rnacentral:rRNA from 1 species
UACGGGGGGAGCAAGCGUUGUUCGGAUUUACUGGGCGUAAAGGGCGCGUAGGCGGUCAGCACAAGUCGGUUGUGAAAUCUCCGAGCUUAACUCGGAAAGGUCAACCGAAACUGUGCGACUAGAGUGCAGAAGGGGCAACUGGAAUUCUUGGUGUAGCGGUGAAAUGCGUAGAUAUCAAGAGGAACACCUGCGGCGAAGGCGGGUUGCUGGGCUGACACUGACGCUGAUGCGCGAAAGCUAGGGGAGCGAACGGG